AGAUUUCAUUAGUUUGAGUUGUAAGAAGAAGAAAAUAUGUGUAGAUUUGUGAGAGAUUUUCCAUUGGUAUGGGUUAUGAUGAUGAUUAUGAGUAUUACAAAUGAUCAUUUGGCAGAUGGUGCAAUUUCUCAGAAUUCGAUGGAAAAGAUUCAUAUGAUAAACAAGAAGGGUCCUUACUUGGGUAUCGUAGUGCCCAACAGUUUUGAGAUGAACCCUCUUCUCCAAUCUUCAAGUUUUGUUCCUCAUCCCUUGCUUUCCUACUUGGAUUUUGCAGGAAGAAGGUUUCGAAUUGGAACUUUGGAAAGUCGAAAAGUUGUUGUUGUCAUGUCCGGACUCAGCAUGCUUAAUGCAGGAAUAGUAACACAGUUGCUGCUUAGCAUAUUCAAGAUUGAAGGAGUAGUUCACUUUGGAAUAGCAGGAAAUGCAAAUCCUAAAUUACAAAUAGGAGAUGUUACUAUCCCUCAUUAUUGGGCUCAUUCAGGCCUUUGGAAUUGGCAGAGGUUUGGAGAUGGACCUGGUGAUGAACUUGCAUUUGAAUCUAAUGGAGACUAUACAAGAAAAAUCGGUUAUCUUAAUUUCUCUCAAUAUGAAAAUGGCACAAAAAAUGGGAAUUAUUCAGACAACCUUCUCAACAAUGUGUGGUAUCAACCGGAAGAGAUAUUUCCAUUGAUGGGGCACCUGAGAUUAGACAGCAUGCCUUUUGGGUUCCUGUUGACAAGCUGUACUUUUCACUUGCAGACAAACUUGAGGAUAUUGUCCUCGAAAGGUGUGUCAAUUCCACUAUGUGUUUACCUCGACCUCCAAAGGUAAUUAGAGUGGAAAGAGGGGUGAGUGCUAAUGUAUUUGUAGACAAUGCUGCCUAUCGAGAUUUUUUGAAUACUAAGUUCAAUGCAACUCCAGUCGACAUGGAAAGUGCUGGAGUAGCCCUUGUAUGUCUCCAACAAAGGACGCGUUUUAUAGCAAUUAGGGCACUAUCUGAUUUAGCUGGUGGCGGUUCUUCUCUCUCCAAUGAAGCCGCUAUCUUCUCUUCACUAGCCGCUCAAAAUGCAGUUAAUGUUGUUCUUAAGUUCGUUACUUUGUUGUCUUUGUAACCUCAAAUUAUUUAACUAGACGCAAUCCAAUAAGGUUAUUAGUCAA